rnacentral:rRNA from 1 species
CAGUCGCCGCGGGAAUACGUAGGGUGCAAGCGUUGUCCGGAAUUAUUGGGCGUAAAGAGCUCGUAGGCGGUUUGUCGCGUCUGCUGUGAAAACGCGAGGCUCAACCUCGCGCCUGCAGUGAGUACGGGCAGACUAGAGUGUGGUAGGGGAGAUUGGAAUUCCUGGUGUAGCGGUGGAAUGCGCAGAUAUCAGGAGGAACACCGAUGGCGAAGGCAGAUCUCUGGGCCAUUACUGACGCUGAGGAGCGAAAGCGUGGGGAGCGAACAGGAUUAGAUACCCCCGUAGUCCCUGUCUCUUAUAC